rnacentral:rRNA from 1 species
UACAGAGGGUGCAAGCGUUAAUCGGAGUUAUUGGGCGUAAAGGGUACGUAGGCGGAUAUUUAAGUCGAAUGUGAAAGCCCCGGGCUUAACCUGGGAACUGCGUUCGAUACUGGAUUGUCUUGAGUAUGGUAGAGGAAGGCGGAAUUUCCGGUGUAGCGGUGAAAUGCGUAGAUAUCGGAAAGAACAUCGGUGGCGAAGGCGGCCUUCUGGACCAAUACUGACGCUGAGGUACGAGAGCGUGGGGAGCAAACAGG